rnacentral:rRNA from 1 species
GCUUUCGUUAUAAAAUGAAAUAAGUCGUAACAUAGUAGAUUUACCGGAAGGUGAAUCUGGGUAGA